GGAAGUGUGGCUCAAGUAGUAGAGCACCUGCCUAGCAAGCAUGAGGCUCUGAGUUCAAAAGUCCUAGUACUGCCA
rnacentral:tRNA from 1 species